GAUGAACGCUGGCGGCGUGCCUAAUACAUGCAAGUCGAGCGAACGGACGAGAAGCUUGCUUCUCUGAUGUUAGCGGCGGACGGGUGAGUAACACGUGGAUAACCUACCUAUAAGACUGGGAUAACUUCGGGAAACCGGAGCUAAUACCGGAUGAUAUUUUGAACCGCAUGGUUCAAAAGUGAAAGACGGUCUUGCUGUCACUUAUAGAUGGAUCCGCGCUGCAUUAGCUAGUUGGUAAGGUAACGGCUUACCAAGGCAACGAUGCAUAGCCGACCUGAGAGGGAGAGGGGCCACAAGGGCACUGAGACACGGUCGGGGCGCAGACGGGAGGCAGCAGUGGGGCAUCUUCGCAGAUGGGCGAAAGCCUGAAGGAGCAACUCCGCGUGAGUGAUGAAGUUCUUCGGAUCGUAAAACCCUGUUAUUAGGGAAGAACAUAUGUGUAAGGAACUGUGCCCAGCUGGACGGUACCUAAUCAGAAAGCCACGGCUAACUACGUG
rnacentral:rRNA from 1 species